UUAAGAAUCUUGCGCAAUGGGCGAAAGCCUGACGCAGCGACGCCGCGUGGACGAUGAAGGCCUUCGGGUUGUAAAGUCCAAUAAGCAGGGAAGAAUAAGCAAAGGGUAAUAUUCUUUGCGAUGACGGUACCUGUCUAAAGCCCCGGCUAACUACGUGCCAGCAGCCGCGGUAAUACGUAUGGGGCUAGCGUUGUUCGGAAUUAUUGGGCGUAAAGGGCGUCUAGGCGGGGAAUUAAGUUAGGUGUGAAAUCCAAGGGCUCAACCCAUGAAUUGCAUCUAAAACUGAUUCUCUUGAGUUCGGGAGAGGAGAGCGGAAUUCCUGGUGUAGCGGUGAAAUGCGUAGAUAUCAGGAGGAACACCGGUGGCGAAGGCGGCUCUCUGGCCUAGAACUGACGCUGAAGCGCGAAAGCGUGGGGAGCAAACG
rnacentral:rRNA from 1 species